rnacentral:rRNA from 1 species
GGCAGCACAGUGUAGCAAUACCAUGGGUGGCUGAGUGGCGCACGGGUGCGUAACACGUAUGCAAUUUGCCCAUAACUGGGGGAUAGCCCUCCGAAAGGAGGAUUAAUACCCCAUAACCCAGCGAAGUGGCAUCACUUUUCUGGUAAAUCUCCGGAGGUUAUGGAUGAGCAUGCGUCUGAUUAGCUAGUUGGUGAGGUAACGGCUCACCAAGGCAACGAUCAGUAGGGGGUCUGAGAGGAUGAUCCCCCACACGGGUACUGAGACACGGACCCGACUCCUACGGGAGGCAGCAGUAAGGAAUAUUGGACAAUGGAGGCAACUCUGAUCCAGCCAUGCCGCGUGAAGGAUGAAGGCCCUACGGGUUGUAAACUUCUUUUCUCUUAGAAAAAACUACUGGUUUCGUACCGGUACUGAUUGUACAAGAGGAAUAAGCAUCGGCUAACUUCGUGCCAGCAGCCGCGGUAAUACGAAGGAUGCAAGCGUUAUCCGGAUUCACUGGGUUUACACAGGGUGUGCAGGUGGGGUAAUAAGUCAAGUGGUGAAAGCCCCGAUCAAUCGGGGAACUGCCAUAGAUACUGUUAUUCUUGAGUGUAGUUGAGGCGGAUGGACAUAUGACCGUGUAGCGGUGAAAUGCUUAGAUAUGUCCUAGAACACCGAUCGGAAGGCAGUCCGCAAAAUAUUACUGGACCUUGAAACACGAAAUUGGGGGGAUCACACGGAUAAAUACCUGGUA